GGAUAUAAAACACACUAAGCCUCUGGACCUAAGUCGAAAGAUACGGUGCUUUGGCCGUGACCUUGAGUCACCAGGGUGCAGUAAGAAAUGACUGCAUCUCCCGUAUUUGGAAGGUGUACAUGGCUACCCAAC
rnacentral:ncRNA from 2 species